rnacentral:rRNA from 1 species
UGGGGAAUAUUGGUUAAUCUGGGAAACCGGGAACCAGCAACGCCGCGUGCACGAUGACGGCCUUCGGGUUGUAAAGUGCUUUUUGAAAGGAUGAGGAAGGACAGUACUUUCAGAAUAAGCUUCGGCUAACUACGUGCCAGCAGCCGCGGUAAAACGUAGGAAGCGAGCGUUAUCCGGAUUUACUGGGCGUAAAGCGUGUGUAGGCGGCUUUACAAGUUGGAUGUGAAAGCUCCUGGCUUAACUGGGAGAGGUCGUUCAAUACUGUCAGGCUUGAGAGUGGUAGAGGGAGGUGGAAUUCCGGGUGUAGUGGUGAAAUGCGUAGAUAUCCGGAGGAACACCAGUGGCGAAAGCGGCCUCCUGGCCCAUUUCUGACGCUCAGACACGAAAGCUAAGGUAGCAAACG